rnacentral:rRNA from 1 species
AACGAACGCUGGCGGCAUGCCUAACACAUGCAAGUCGAACGAACCCUUCGGGGUUAGUGGCGCACGGGUGCGUAACGCGUGGGAAUCUGCCCUUUGCUUCGGAAUAACAGUUAGAAAUGACUGCUAAUACCGGAUGAUGUCUUCGGACCAAAGAUUUAUCGGCAAGGGAUGAGCCCGCGUAGGAUUAGGUAGUUGGUGGGGUAAAGGCCUACCAAGCCGACGAUCCUUAGCUGGUCUGAGAGGAUGAUCAGCCACACUGGGACUGAGACACGGCCCAGACUCCUACGGGAGGCAGCAGUGGGGAAUAUUGGACGAUGGGCGCAAGCCUGAUCCAGCAAUGCCGCGUGAGUGAUGAAGGCCUUCGGGUCGUAAAGCUCUUUUACCAGGGAUGAUAAUGACAGUAUCGGGAGAAUAAGCUCCGGCUAACUCCGUGCCAGCAGCCGCGGUAAU